rnacentral:rRNA from 1 species
GACGAAGGAUGCAAGCGUUAUCCGGAUUCAUUGGGUUUAAAGGGAGCGUAGGUGGCCUGCUAAGUCAGUGGUGAAAUCUCUGGGCUUAACCCAGAAAUUGCCAUUGAUACUGGUGGGCUUGAGUGCAGUUGCUGUUGGCGGAAUAUGACAUGUAGUGGUGAAAUACAUAGAGAUGUCAUAGAACACCGAUUGCGAAGGCAGCUAACAAAACUGUAACUGACACUGAGGCUCGAAAGUGUGGGGAU